AGAAAACGAGGCAAUUUUGACUCCUGUAUCCCACAGCCAAAAUGAGUUGACCGGGGGGAUCCACAUCGCAGGCAAUACAAUCAGCCAUGGGCAGGCUGAACAGAGUGGUUUGUUGGCGAGGUCGUCGCCGAACUAACCAAAGGCCGUUCAAGCCCCCCACCAAAAACUGGUAUUGCUUGUCGAAGGCUCGCAAGCAAAUCAGCUGCUCACCCUGGCCGGGCAGCUUGGCCUUUCGAACGACCGCUGAAGACCUUGAAGACCAAUUGCUGAUGAGGGUCAGGGUCCCAUCCAAAGAACACGUCAAGAUCUCAUUACUCGAGCUCAACUUAAUAUCUUGGACCCAAUCGCUGAAAAAUGGAGCAUGAGUUUGAUGAGUUUUGUGAAGGGAACCCUCUCUGCUAAAAUGAAUCUGCAUGUCGGGUUUUAUCAAGAUUUCAUCGUUUGCCCUUUUAAAAAGAUACCAUCAUACUAACGGUAUAAGGAUACGAAGGCAACUUUCUACUGCACAUGCUCGCACCACGCCUCGAACCGAACCUGUGACCGUGUUUCCAUUGGGCAAAAGACACACACUGGUAAUAGGAUCGCUGUGAGCCCGAAAGCUGAACUGCGGCGCCAUCUUUAGUCGAUCUAAAACCACCACCUAAAAGCAAUUGAUGUCUUUCAAAAUGGUCAGUCGAUCCCAAGUAAUUCGACGGCUCACCAUCCCGCUGGUAGAACCCAGUGCAAUGGCAUUGUCCCGAAGGCACAUGGAACUGACAUUGCUCUCGACGGCCAUGUGCCGCACCCGUUUAUCUCGCUGAAGUUUCACGUGGGACAGAAUCUGGCACCAUUCUUCACUGAUCUGGUUGCAACUAUGAAGCGAGCUAGUAUCCAAAGAGUUGAAGAUUUGAUUGAUGACGUGGAGCAGGUUCAUCUGCCACAAUGAAGAAAUGAGAUCGAACCCAGCGGACUCGGAUACAAAAUGGACCCAAUUCCGCUUCAGAGCCAUUUUGAAGUAGGAUUGUGCCACUCUUGAACUAUUGAGGAACAAUGGGAUUUCUGAGGUUAUGCAUAGGUCAAUGAACCUUUGUAAUACCACACAAAGGACACAUCGGUUAAGUUUUUGCUUGUUCGGUGCAAGUUUUGAGCCACAACUAUCGCAAACAUUGAAGAAACUUGGAUAGAAACAAGAAAGUCUGGAAAAGUGUGCAGGUGUAAAUGUGUACUAACUCAAUAAGGAAAGGGGACAUGAAGCAAACUUCCGGCAUAUUGUGGAACAGACUGACUCGACGAGGUUUGAACACAGAUAUUUGUAUCUAAAACCUAUUGGAUUUUUUUUGGGGGGGAGAAGAUGGUUUAAUUUAGAAAUUGGAAUCUAAAGGUUCUUUUAUUUGCUCCCAUGAGAUGUUGGCAAAUUGUCCAUCAUCUAGUCAAAUAACUCAUCGAAAUCAAAAUGCAAUUACCAAUUGAUCAAUACCAUUCUUAAUUACGAACAAGUACAUGAAUAAAUAACCGUUGUAAAGCUUCAAGGUGGGCGUAUUUGAGCUGGAAUCUAAAUUCAAAGUUUUGGUAUUGCAAGCAGAUUCGACGCAUUUUGCCUCCAUCUAUUGGUGAGAAUCAGAAACAGCGAUUGAACAUGGCAAUAGAGAAGUGUAAGCUUUGGGAUUUCAUACUUGUGCGCAUGAAGGAAAUGUCACCACAAUUCUUACUGAUAACAAAAUUUUCGGACCAAUUAUUUUUUUCGUAUUUUCUGUAUACUUUUGUCACUUGCAUCUUUAGCAAAUGAAUGUUGGGCUUAAAUGGCUGAAAAUAAUUGUCAAACGACGUACUAAG